rnacentral:rRNA from 1 species
GACGAACGCUGGCGGCGUGCUUAACACAUGCAAGUCGAACGGAAAGGCCCUGCUUUUGUGGGGUGCUCGAGUGGCGAACGGGUGAGUAACACGUGAGUAACCUGCCCUUGACUUUGGGAUAACUUCAGGAAACUGGGGCUAAUACCGGAUAGGAGCUCCUGCUGCAUGGUGGGGGUUGGAAAGUUUCGGCGGUUGGGGAUGGACUCGCGGCUUAUCAGCUUGUUGGUGGGGUAGUGGCUUACCAAGGCUUUGACGGGUAGCCGGCCUGAGAGGGUGACCGGCCACAUUGGGACUGAGAUACGGCCCAGACUCCUACGGGAGGCAGCAGUGGGGAAUAUUGCACAAUGGGCGGAAGUCUGAUGCAGCAACGCCGCGUGCGGGAUGACGGCCUUCGGGUUGUAAACCGCUUUCGCCUGUGACGAAGCGUGAGUGACGGUAAUGGGUAAAGAAGCACCGGCUAACUACGUGCCAGCAGCCGCGGUGAUACGUAGGGUGCGAGCGUUGUCCGGAUUUAUUGGGCGUAAAGGGCUCGUAGGUGGUUGAUCGCGUCGGAAGUGUAAUCUUGGGGCUUAACCCUGAGCGUGCUUUCGAUACGGGUUGACUUGAGGAAGGUAGGGGAGAAUGGAAUUCCUGGUGGAGCGGUGGAAUGCGCAGAUAUCAGGAGGAACACCAGUGGCGAAGGCGGUUCUCUGGGCCUUUCCUGACGCUGAGGAGCGAAAGCGUGGGGAGCGAACAGGCUUAGAUACCCUGGUAGUCCACGCUGUAAACGGUGGGUACUAGGUGUGGGGUCCAUUCCACGGGUUCCGUGCCGUAGCUAACGCUUUAAGUACCCCGCCUGGGGAGUACGGCCGCAAGGCUAAAACUCAAAGGAAUUGACGGGGCCCCGCACAAGCGGCGGAGCAUGCGGAUUAAUUCGAUGCAACGCGUAGAACCUUACCUGGGUUUGACAUGGAUCGGGAGUGCUCAGAGAUGGGUGUGCCUCUUUUGGGGUCGGUUCACAGGUGGUGCAUGGCUGUCGUCAGCUCGUGUCGUGAGAUGUUGGGUUAAGUCCCGCAACGAGCGCAACCCUUGUUCACUGUUGCCAGCACGUUAUGGUGGGGACUCAGUGGAGACCGCCGGGGUCAACUCGGAGGAAGGUGGGGAUGACGUCAAGUCAUCAUGCCCCUUAUGUCCAGGGCUUCACGCAUGCUACAAUGGCUGGUACAGAGAGUGGCGAGCCUGUGAGGGUGAGCGAAUCUCGGAAAGCCGGUCUCAGUUCGGAUUGGGGUCUGCAACUCGACCUCAUGAAGUCGGAGUCGCUAGUAAUCGCAGAUCAGCAACGCUGCGGUGAAUACGUUCCCGGG